GUGCUCGCUUCGGCAGCAUAUAUACUAAAAUUGGAACGAUACAGAGAAGAUUAGCAUGGCCCCUGCACAAGGAUGACAUGCAAAUUUGUGAAGCAUUCCAUAUUUGU
ensembl:snRNA U6 U6 spliceosomal RNA